GUGCAGCAGGCGCGAAACCUUUACAAUGUGCGAAAGCAUGAUAAGGGAACUCCGAGUGCCAGUAUCUAAUACUGGCUGUCCUUGUGCCUAAAACGCACAAGAUAGCAAGGGCCGGGUAAGACCGGUGCCAGCCGCCGCGGUAACACCGGCGGCCCGAGUGGUAGCCGCUAUUAUUGGGUCUAAAGGGUCCGUAGCCGGUUCGAUAAGUCCUCUGGGAAAUCUGGUUGCUUAACAAUCAGACUGCCAAGGGAUACUGUCGAACUUGAGACCGGGAGAGGUAAGAGGUACUUCAGGGGUAGGAGUGAAAUCUUGUAAUCCCUGGAGGACCAUCUGUGGCGAAGGCGUCUUACCAGAACGGGUCUGACGGUGAGGGACGAAAGCUGGGGGCGCAAACCGGAUUAGAUACCCGUGUAGUCC
rnacentral:rRNA from 1 species